CGUGGCUUCCUCAACCGGUACCGUCACUACUCCAACGUGUUAGGUUGGAGCCCGUUCGUCCCGGUCAACAGGAGUUUACAAUCCGAAGACCUUCAUCCUCCACGCGGCGUUGCGUCGUCAGGCUUGCGCCCAUUGCGAACAAUUCCCCACUGCUGCCUCCCGUAGGAGUA
rnacentral:rRNA from 1 species